GAUGAACGCUAGCGAUAGGCUUAACACAUGCAAGUCGAGGGGCAGCAUUAUUUUAGCUUGCUAAGAUAGAUGGCGACCGGCGCACGGGUGCGUAACGCGUAUGCAACCUGCCUGUAACUAGGGAAUAACCCGGUGAAAGUCGGACUAAUACCCUAUAUUCUUCUUUCUCCGCAUGGGGGAGGACGGAAAGAUUUAUUGAUUACAGAUGGGCAUGCGUCCCAUUAGCUAGUUGGUAAGGUAACGGCUUACCAAGGCAACGAUGGGUAGGGGGACUGAGAGGUUGACCCCCCACACUGGUACUGAGACACGGACCAGACUCCUACGGGAGGCAGCAGUGAGGAAUAUUGGUCAAUGGGCGAGAGCCUGAACCAGCCAAGUCGCGUGAAGGACGACGGUUCUAUGGAUUGUAAACUUCUUUUGUAGAGGAAUAACGGCAGCUACGUGUAGCUGAGAUGCAUGUA
rnacentral:rRNA from 1 species